rnacentral:rRNA from 1 species
GACGAACGCUGGCGGCGUGCUUAACACAUGCAAGUCGAACGGAAAGGCCUGCUUUCCCUUGUGGAUUGCGGGUACUCGAGUGGCGAACGGGUGAGUAACACGUGAGUGAUCUGCCCCCAACUUGGGUAUAAGCCUGGGAAACUGGGUCUAAUUCCCGAUAGGACUGCAGGGUGGUGCCUGUGGUGGAAAACGAUUUUCUAGUGGUUGGGGAUGAGCUCGCGGCCUAUCAGCUUGUUGGUGGGGUAAUGGCCUACCAAGGCGGCGACAGGUAGCCGGCCUGAGAGGGUGGACGGCCACAUUGGGACUGAGAUACGGCCCAGACUCCUACGGGAGGCAGCAGUGGGGAAUAUUGCACAAUGGGCGGAAGCCUGAUGCAGCGACGCCGCGUGGGGGAUGACGGCCUUCGGGUUGUAAACUCCUUUCGACCGCGAGGAAGCCACCUGGUUGGAAGGGUGGUGACGGUAGUGGUAGAAGAAGCACCGGCUAACUACGU